rnacentral:rRNA from 1 species
UACGUAGGGUGCGAGCGUUGUCCGGAAUUAUUGGGCGUAAAGAGCUUGUAGGUGGUUUGUCGCGUCUGCUGUGAAAAUCCGAGGCUCAACCUCGGACUUGCAGUGGGUACGGGCAGACUAGAGUGUGGUAGGGGAGACUGGAAUUCCUGGGUGUAGCGGUGGAAUGCGCAGAUAUCAGGAGGAACACCCAUAGCGAAGGCAGCUUGCUGGGACGUUACUGAC